rnacentral:tRNA from 1 species
AGCCCUGUGGUGUAGUCGGCCAAGCAUUCGAGACUUUGGAUCUCGCGACGUAGGUUCAAAUCCUACCAGGGCUA